GGGCUGUGGCUCAGCUUGGUAGAGCGCCUGGUUCGGGACCAGGAGGCCGUGGGUUCAAAUCCCACCAGCCCGAUUCCA
rnacentral:tRNA from 1 species